rnacentral:rRNA from 1 species
AUGAACGCUGGCGGCGUGCUUAACACAUGCAAGUCGAACGGGAAACCUUUUAAUGAAGCUUCGGCAGAUUUAGCUGGUUUCUAGUGGCGGACGGGUGAGUAACGCGUGGGUAACCUGCCUUAUACAGGGGGAUAACAGUCAGAAAUGACUGCUAAUACCGCAUAAGCGCACAGGACCGCAUGGUCCGGUGUGAAAAACUCCGGUGGUAUAAGAUGGACCCGCGUUGGAUUAGCUUGUUGGUGGGGUAACGGCUCACCAAGGCGACGAUCCAUAGCCGGCCUGAGAGGGUGAACGGCCACAUUAGGACUGAGACACGGCCCAGACUCCUACGGGAGGCAGCAGUGGGGAAUAUUGCACAAUGGGGGAAACCCUGAUGCAGCGACGCCGCGUGAAGGAAGAAGUAUCUCGGUAUGUAAACUUCUAUCAGCAGGGAAGAUAGUGACGGUACCUGACUAAGAAGCCCCGGCUAACUACGUG